CACCCACUGUGGUCACUGGAGUAAUUUUUAUCUAAUAUACUAAAAAUAAUAUCCCAGAAUAUACUCAUAAUGUGUACAUUUAUUGGGAUGUUACAAUAAAUGUAUAUAAUAUGUACCAUAUGUAC